CGGAGUGUAGCGCAGCCUGGUAGCGCACUUGUCUGGGGGACAAGGGGUCGUGGGUUCAAAUCCCGCCACUCCGACCA
rnacentral:tRNA from 1 species